AGAGUUUGAUCAUGGCUCAGAACGAACGCUGGCGGCGUGGAUAAGACAUGCAAGUCGAACGAGAUUUUUCGCUGUAGCAAUACGAUGGAAAGUCUAGUGGCGAACGGGUGCUUAACACGUGGGCAACCUGCCAGGAAGUGGGGGAUAGCUCGCCGAAAGGCGAAUUAAUACCGCAUGUGAUUAGAGAGGACAUCCUUUCGAAAUUAAAGUCGGGGCAACCUGACGCUUCUUGUGGGGCCCGCGGCCUAUCAGCUAGUUGGUGAGGUAACGGCUCACCAAGGCUUUGACGGGUAGCUGGUCUGAGAGGACGACCAGCCACACUGGGACUGAGACACGGCCCAGACACCUACGGGUGGCAGCAGUCGAGAAUUUUUGACAAUGGGGGAAAUCCUGAUCGAGCGACGCCGCGUGGAGGAUGAAGGUCUUCGGAUUGUAAACUCCUGUCAUUGGGGAACAAUGCGCAAAUAUUAACUGUAUUUGUGUUGAUAGUACCCGAAGAGGAAGAGACGGCUAACUCUGUGCCAGCAGCCGCGGUAAUACAGAGGUCUCAAGCGUUGUUCGGAUUCAUUGGGCGUAAAGGGUGCGUAGGCGGCGCGGUAAGUCGGGUGUGAAAUCUCGGAGCUUAACUCCGAAACUGCAUUCGAUACUGCCGUGCUUGAGGACUGGAGAGGAGACUGGAAUUUACGGUGUAGCGGUGAAAUGCGUAGAUAUCGUAAGGAAGACCAGUGGCGAAGGCGGGUCUCUGGACAGUUCCUGACGCUGAGGCACGAAAGGUCAGGGGAGCAAACGGGAUUAGAUACCCCGGUAGUCCUGACAGUAAACGGUGCACGUUUGGUGUGGGAGGAUUCGACCCCUUCUGCGCCCGGAGCUAACGCGUUAAACGUGCCGCCUGGGGAGUACGGUCGCAAGAUUAAAACUCAAAGAAAUUGACGGGGGCCCGCCACAAGCCGUG
rnacentral:rRNA from 1 species